rnacentral:lncRNA from 1 species
UUACAACUCUCCAUUCUUUGUUGCGUUUCUUUUAGAAGUCUCGUCUUGGCCUCCUUAGUCCAUUUAAGGGGUCAAAAUAUCGAUCCACGAUACUUUUUAUGCGGGUAUUCAUGAAGCUUACUAUUUGUUUUGUUUUUUGUAACUACUAUUUUUGUGCUUGUUUGUGAAUGCCGCUGAAUUUUCAAGGGUUUUUGGUGUUGUAUGUUUAAUUUUAUUUGGUGGUUUUCCUCUCUUGUUUAAGGGGUAUUUACCCUUUCAAGAUAUCAAUCAAUCAAAAUGUAAUAUACAAAUGUAACAUUAAAUGUCAAAU